rnacentral:rRNA from 1 species
GAUGAACGCUGGCGGCGUGCUUAACACAUGCAAGUCGAACGGUGAAGCCAAGCUUGCUUGGUGGAUCAGUGGCGAACGGGUGAGUAACACGUGAGCAACCUGCCCUGGACUCUGGGAUAAGCGCUGGAAACGGCGUCUAAUACUGGAUAUGAGCUCUCAUCGCAUGGUGGGGGUUGGAAAGAUUUUUCGGUCUGGGAUGGGCUCGCGGCCUAGCAGCUUGUUGGUGAGGUAAUGGCUCACCAAGGCGUCGACGGGUAGCCGGCCUGAGAGGGUGACCGGCCACACUGGGACUGAGACACGGCCCAGACUCCUACGGGAGGCAGCAGUGGGGAAUAUUGCACAAUGGGCGGAAGCCUGAUGCAGCAACGCCGCGUGAGGGAUGACGGCCUUCGGGUUGUAAACCUCUUUUAGCAGGGAAGAAGCGAGAGUGACGGUACCUGCAGAAAAAGCGCCGGCUAACUACGUGCCAGCAGCCGCCGCCGUAA